UCGGGAAUUUUGGGCAAUGGGCGAAAGCCUGACCCAGCAACGCCGCGUGAAGGAUGAAGUAUUUCGGUAUGUAAACUUCGAAAGAAUAGGAAGAAUAAAUGACGGUACUAUUUAUAAGGUCCGGCUAACUACGUGCCAGCAGCCGCGGUAAUACGUAGGGACCAAGUGUUGUUCGGAUUUACUGGGCGUAAAGGGCGCGUAGGCGGCAAUUCAAGUCAUCUGUGAAAUCUCCGGGCUUAACUCGGAACGGUCAGAUGAUACUGCUUUGCUAGAGUGCAGAAGGGGCAAUCGGAAUUCUUGGUGUAGCGGUGAAAUGCGUAGAUAUCAAGAGGAACACCUGAGGUGAAGACGGGUUGCUGGGCUGACACUGACGCUGAGGCGCGAAAGCCAGGGGAGCAAACGGGAUUAGAUACCCUCGUAGUCCCUGAGCGGGCUGGCAAGGCGCAU
rnacentral:rRNA from 1 species